rnacentral:rRNA from 1 species
UACGUAGGGGGCAAGCGUUGUCCGGAAUUAUUGGGCGUAAAGAGCUCGUAGGCGGUCAGUCGCGUCUGCUGUGAAAACUCGGGGCUUAACUCCGGGCCUGCAGUGGGUACGGGCUGACUAGAGUGCGGUAGGGGAGACUGGAAUUCCUGGUGUAGCGGUGAAAUGCGCAGAUAUCAGGAGGAACACCGGUGGCGAAGGCGGGUCUCUGGGCCGUAACUGACGCUGAGGAGCGAAAGCGUGGGGAGCGAACAGG